CAAUAGCGUAUAUUAAAGUUGUUGCAGUUAAAAAGCUCGUAGUUGAAUUUCUGGCGGGCGCGCCGGUCUUCCAAGUGUUGUACUGGGCGCAGUCCGCCAUCCUUGUGGAGAGGGCUCGCAUUGAGUUGCGUGUCGGAUCUGCAUCAUUUACUGUGAAAAAAUUAGAGUGUUUAGAGCAGGCUGUCGCUUGAAUACAUUAGCAUGGAAUAAUAAGAUAGGACUUCGGUCUAUUUUGUUGGUUGCGAACCGAGGUAAUGAUUAAUAGGGAUAGUUGGGGGUAUUCAUAUUUAAUUGUCAGAGGUGAAAUUCUUGGAUUUAUGAAAGAUGAACAACUGCGAANGNAUUUACNAAGGAUGUUUNCAUUA
rnacentral:rRNA from 1 species